AAAAAAAGUUUUAUGGGCGGAUGGAAGGGGCCGGGGCAGCGCCGGGCAAGGGAAGGGCCGGAGCAGCGGCGGCAGGCGGCCGAGAGGGGCGGCGGCGGCGGGCUUCCCGCGCCGCGGAGCCCGGCCCGAGAGCGCCUUCCACCCUCCUGCCUCCUGCUCCCGCCGCCCCGGGGCGCCGCCAUGACGCCUGAUCUGCUCAACUUCAAGAAAGGAUGGAUGUCGAUCCUGGACGAGCCAGGAGAGGUAGGAGGGCUGAAGUGGGAGGGCAGGAGGGUGACCUGCCACAGUGCCCUGUAGGGUCCCUGGGGCACCCCAGGAGGCUGAGCUGCUUCCCAGGCCUGUCCCUGGCCUCUGGGUAGAAGGGGUGCAGGGGAGGGGCCAGAGUGGGAAUCCUAAGGGCACAGUGUUUCUUGUCCAACAGAAAAGGGCCUUGGGCUGUGGGGAUGGGAGCACAGAGGCUGCUGGUCAUCUCUCAGCCUCUUGGAGUAGUCUGCAGUGUAUAAAAGUCAUCAGGGACGGGGUGACUGACGCCCUGCACCCAUGCCCUCCUCUCACCAGGAGCCCUCCUGGCAUCCGAGGGGCUGGGUGGAAAGAUUCACAGAGGUUAUCCCGCCUGAGACAUGUACAAAUUCCCAAGACUCAGCCGUCAACAGCCCCCUGCCCCCGGGGUGGGGCUUCAAGCACAUUGCUUGAUGUCUCACCAACCUGGGGCCCCACUGGUUGAGUCAUGGCUUCCUCUGGCCUCAGUGACCCCAUCUGUGAAAUGGGCAUAAUGGAGAAUGACAAUUGUUUUCAGGGUGGUUAACAGAGUCACAGAGGUCAAGCACGUAAAGGGUCCCACACAGCCCCCAUGCCUGCUAGGGCCUCAGCUAAUAACACUGCCCUUUCUCUAAUGUGUCCAUCCUUAGGACCAGAAGGGACGGUGGCCUUUCACUGCCUCUGCCCUUUCAGCUGCCAGGCUGGAGCUGGCUUCCUGCCCACCCCACUGGGGAGGGGACGUCUCCCGGCCCCUGUCCUGCAUGCGCCUGCAGCUUGGUCUGCGUGCAGGCCACAUGCCGGGGAGGGCUCAGAGCCAAAGGGAAUCUCAUUGUGUUUCCUACCCACAUGCUUUAUUCCCUCCAGCCCACGGCUUUCCAUCCCGAAGCCUGCUCGCCUGUCCUCUGGUGGCUGCGCUCCAGGCUCACACAAGGCCUGGCACCCGGCCAGUGACCCCCCUCUCCCCUGCAGGGUCUCCGAAGGGCAGAGAUUAUGGGCCCCACCCAGAACUGGCCGUUACUCAUUCUCUU
rnacentral:lncRNA from 1 species